AUGGUUCUUGGUGGUACCAAAGCGGAAGAUAAACAUCUCAAAUUGGUUCACACAAUAAAACAUGUUAACUUAGUGAACUAAAUUAGCACAAAUCAGAAAGAUUCUCGGAGAGACAAGAUUGCUUCACAGUUGGAUUCACGGAGGUUUAUCUGAAGCCGCAUAUCUUGCAGCUGGAUCUGUUGUAGAGGUGGCGGAGAAAGUUGCAGAAGGAGAGUUAGAUUGUGGCUUUGCUAUUGUCAGGCCCCCAGGGCACCAUGCUGAG